rnacentral:sRNA from 1 species
UUAGAGUUAAUUGCUCUUCAAUUUGGGAGUGCUUUGGAGCUCUGAAUCUGAUUGCUUGUCUCCUGGUGAUUACUUGUAAGUUACCUAGGGAUGGCGAGACUGAUAUGCGAAUGUGGGUUGCGAGAGCGGAGCUGGUACAAGGCUGGACAAGGACUGAGAAGGGUGCUGGCUGUAUCCAAGAGAUGGCAGACAAUAAUUACAUGAUAUAGCUAGGAAUUCUGUGUCCAUACUCACUGGUAUUUGACCAGGGUGUGGUCAAAAGAAAUUUUCCAGCUUUUUAAGGCAUAAAGAAGGGCAGCAAUGCCAUCAUCAGCGCCAUCAGUGGUGCCUUGGAAGUGUUGUACCACGUCGCGCCCACCAUCUGCCACGCCAUUGAGUCAAACCGUCACCGAGUCACGAACCGUCCCCACCGGGCACCGCAGUCCACAGCCGCAAGACGCUAGCCAUUUCUCCAGAUCCGGCUCUCUGAUUCACACUCACAGCAAGCUCAGGAAUGGCGAUUGUAACCUCCACUUCAUGUAUUCUUUGCUCCUGUUCUUCUCGAACAAACUUUAGCUGCUGCAUGCAUUCGUUCAAUGCAUCAUCUGAAUGAGUUGAUCUUUCAUUUGUGGAUACUCCCUGCCUCAAAGGUUCCUCUAAUUCUUGCUUUAAAACCGACUCUCCUGCCUUCUCACUACAAUCACCUGCUAUAACUUCUUCUUCCGGUUUUGCAUGUUCUGGAAGGGGAUCUUCUUUUACAGUGCGGUCUAGGAGAACUGAAGCUAACUUCUCAUUUAGAUUUUUCCUCGAUCUCUCUGUUUCACUUCCUUUCUCAGCUGGAUAUGAAAAUGUUUCUUCUUCAAUUCUUCCCAAAGGAGUGGCAACUUUGUUAGUUGCAAGAAUUGUCUUCUCUGAAGAUUUUUUUUUUUUUUUCAAAGCCAAGCCUUGUGGUCCAUGAUUUCGGGUCACUGGGCAAUUAAGAGAGAGACCAAAAUGCUAAAACAGUGGUGCUCCAAGAACUGUUUCCACCAUGCCUUACUGUGGAAGUCAAGGGAGAAGAAAACAACGACUUAUAAUACCACAAAUGAAGAGAGACUUUCUUCUUCAUGGAUCAAUAGAAUCAUAGGAUGCUCGCACUCCACCGACAGUUUACCUUUCUCGGUGAUAAUAAUCAAUGAGAGAGAGAGGGAAGAGAGAGUAAAAAGAAAAAAGGGCAAAAAGGAAAAGCCAAUGAGAAAAAGAAGUCAAAGAACAACGGGCCACAGGUAGAACAGGAGAAAGAGAGAGAGAGAUGGGUUGAAUGUUGUGUGAGUUAAGUGUGGUGGAAAAUGGUCUGAGGAAGUGGGUGUGCAUCAGCAGAAGAAGGCAGGGAGAUGAUGCCACGCCGAGUCUUGGCGUUCUCGAAGUGGGUGGUGGUGGUGGUGCCUCCUCAUGACUCCGCACGCAUGCAGCAAAACCAUUUUUUAGAUGGAGGAUUUCCGAGAACUACUUCUUGUUGAAGAUUACAGUGAAUCCCUUUUGAUGCUGGAUCAUUGACAUCCCAAUUUUGGUAGCGGGAUUUGAGGUGGUCCGAGUACUGAAGGGAUUUGAGAUGGUGAUGGAUUGACGAGUCUGCUUUUUUCAGGUGAGGUUCAAUGGAAGAGAGAGAGAGAGGUGGUUGGAGAUCUGCGAAGACGGCGCUAAAUGUUGAUGCAUAAAACCGGAGGUCUUGGAACAACGUAAAUCCAAUCAUGAAUCUGCAAGAAAU